GGAGGCAGCAGUGGGGAAUAUUGCACAAUGGGCGCAAGCCUGAUGCAGCCAUGCCGCGUGUGUGAAGAAGGCCUUCGGGUUGUAAAGCACUUUCAGUCGUGAGGAAGGUGGUAGUGUUAAUAGCACUAUCAUUUGACGUUAGCGACAGAAGAAGCACCGGCUAACUCCGUGCCAGCAGCCGCGGUAAUACGGAGGGUGCGAGCGUUAAUCGGAAUUACUGGGCGUAAAGCGCAUGCAGGUGGUUUGUUAAGUCAGAUGUGAAAGCCCGGGGCUCAACCUCGGAAUAGCAUUUGAAACUGGCAGACUAGAGUACUGUAGAGGGGGGUAGAAUUUCAGGUGUAGCGGUGAAAUGCGUAGAGAUCUGAAGGAAUACCGGUGGCGAAGGCGGCCCCCUGGACAGAUACUGACACUCAGAUGCGAAAGCGUGGGGAGCAAACAGGAUUAGAUACCCUGGUAGUCCACGCCGUAAACGAUGUCUACUUGGAGGUUGUGGCCUUGAGCCGUGGCUUUCGGAGCUAACGCGUUAAGUAGACCGCCUGGGGAGUACGGUCGCAAGAUUAAAACUCAAAUGAAUUGACGGGGGCCCGCACAAGCGGUGGAGCAUGUGGUUUAAUUCGAUGCAACGCGAAGAACCUUACCUACUCUUGACAUCCAGAGAACUUCCAGAGAUG
rnacentral:rRNA from 1 species